UACGUAGGGUGCGAGCGUUAAUCGGAAUACUGGGCGUAAAGCGUGCGCAGGCGGUUAUGUAAGACAGAUGUGAAAUCCCCGGGCUCCAACCUGGGAAACUGGCAUUAGUGACUGCAUAGCUGGAGUACGGCAGAGGGGGAUGGAAUUCCGCGUGUAGCAGUGAAAUGCGUAGAUAUGCGGAGGAACACCGAUGGCGAAGGCAAUCCCCUGGGCCUGUACUGACGCUCAUGCACGAAAGCGUGGGGAGCAAACAGGAUUAGAUACCCCCG
rnacentral:rRNA from 1 species